rnacentral:rRNA from 1 species
AGUGAACGCUGGCGGUAGGCCUAACACAUGCAAGUCGAACGGCAGCACAGUAAGAGCUUGCUCUUACGGGUGGCGAGUGGCGGACGGGUGAGGAAUACAUCGGAAUCUACUUUUUCGUGGGGGAUAACGUAGGGAAACUUACGCUAAUACCGCAUACGACCUACGGUGAAAGCAGGGGAUCUUCGGACCUUUCGCGAUUUAAUGAGCCGAUGUCGGAUUAGCUAGUUGGCGGGGUAAAGGCCCACCAAGGCGACGAUCCGUAGCUGGUCUGAGAGGAUGAUCAGCCACACUGGAACUGAGACACGGUCCAGACUCCUACGGGAGGCAGCAGUGGGGAAUAUUGGACAAUGGGCGCAAGCCUGAUCCAGCCAUACCGCGUGGGUGAAGAAGGCCUUCGGGUUGUAAAGCCCUUUUGUUGGGAAAGAAGAGCAGCAGGUUAAUACCCCGCUGUUCUGACGGUACCCAAAGAAUAAGCACCGGCUAACUUCGUG